GUUCGCGCCAAGCUGCGCUGGGGAGAGGUGUGUGUGGGAAAGCCAGAGCCCAAGAACUGGAGUGCUGAUACAUUUUUGUUUUAAACAGAAUAAAUCUGCCCUACUGCUGC